rnacentral:rRNA from 1 species
AAUAUCAAAGGUGAGCCAGUACAGGAUGGACCCGCGUCUGAUUAGCUAGUUGGUAAGGUAACGGCUUACCAAGGCGACGAUCAGUAGCCGACCUGAGAGGGUGAUCGGCCACAUUGGAACUGAGACACGGUCCAAACUCCUACGGGAGGCAGCAGGGGGGAAUAUUGCACAAUGGGCGAAAGCCUGAUGCAGCAACGCCGCGUGAGUGAUGAAGGCCUUCGGGUCGUAAAACUCUGUCCUCAAGGAAGAUAAUGACGGUACUUGAGGAGGAAGCCCCGGCUAACUACGUGCCAGCAGCCGCGGUAAUACGUAGGGGGCUAGCGUUAUCCGGAUUUACUGGGCGUAAAGGGUGCGUAGGCGGUCUUUCAAGUCAGGAGUGAAAGGCUACGGCUCAACCGUAGUAAGCUCUUGAAACUGGGAGACUUGAGUGCAGGAGAGGAGAGUGGAAUUCCUAGUGUAGCGGUGAAAUGCGUAGAUAUUAGGAGGAACACCAGUUGCGAAGGCGGCUCUCUGGACUGU